CUACAGUGGCUGGUUUUUCCUUUCAUGGAAACUCAGAUGCCUUGACUUGUACAAUGGGAUGGAGGAAUUGACCUGGCCUUGAUUGACACUUGCUUUUGUUUAUUUGACGGUGGGUCACCAUGCUUUGCUGGACACUGGAAUCUAUUGUGACUUCUGCAACUAACGCAAUUGUCGGAGAUCAGACGGUGUUGGGCCCUUCCCACCAGGUCUACAUUAUGUGAUAUUGAAGUAAUAUGAUUUCCUUGGCUAUUUCGUAUUUUACAUGGCUCAGAAUUUUUGCGUGAUAUCUGAUGUCUUUGCUGGUCCCUGGUGGCUGUACUCGAC
rnacentral:misc_RNA from 1 species